UAAGCAUGAAAGGUGAGGGUUAAGGGACAAAGCCAUAAACAGGGUUGCUUUCUCAAGAUCAUAGAGAUGAUCCAAGUAAGUUCCUUUGGAAUUAGGCAACACAAGGUAUAAACAGAUAAGCAAGGUCUCAUAAGAGAACAACGAAAACUGGAAACGGAAUGCCAAUCAAUGGGCUUAUAUCCAACUCCAAAAACAAAUAG
rnacentral:lncRNA from 1 species